CCAAGUUUUUAUAUAUAUAUGAGGUGUGUGUGUGUGUGUGUGUGUGUGUGUUUAAGAUAUAUAUACACAUACAAUUUUUCCCAUUUGUAUGCA
rnacentral:pre_miRNA from 1 species